CCUACGGGGGGCAGCAGUGAGGAAUAUUGGUCAAUGGGCGUGAGGCUGAACCAGCCAAGUCGCGUGAAGGAAGACGGCCCUAUGGGUUUUAAACUUCUUUUAUAAGGGAAUAAAGGUAUCCACGUGUGGAUAUUUGUAUGUACCCUAUGAAUAAGCAUCGGCUAAAUCCGUGCCAGCAGCCGCGGUAAUACGGAGGAUGCGAGCGUUAUCCGGAUUUAUUGGGUUUAAAGGGAGCGUAGGUUGUUUUUUAAGUCAGCGGUGAAAGUGUGUGGCUGAACCAUAAACUUGCCGUUGAAACUGGAAGACUUGAGUGUGCGUGGGGUACAUGGAAUGCGUGGUGUAGCGGUGAAAUGCUUAGAUAUCACGCAGAACUCCGAUCGCGAAGGCAGUUUACUGAGGCAUAACUGACACUGAAGCACGAAAGCGUGGGGAUCAAACAGGAUUAGAUACCCGUGUAGUC
rnacentral:rRNA from 1 species